AUGCAAGUCGAACGCAGUAGCAAUACUGAGUGGCAAACGGGUGAGUAUAAUGUGGGAAUCUGCCUUUUGGUUUGGAAUAACACGGGGAAACUUGUGCUAAUACCGAAUAAGCCUUUACGGGGAAAGUUUUAACGCCGAAAGAUGAGCCUGCACUUGAUUAGCUAGUUGGUAAGGUAAAAGCUUACCAAGGCAACGAUCAAUAGCUGUUCUUAGAGGAAGACCAGCCACAUUGGGACUGAGACACGGCCCAGACUCCUACGGGAGGCAGCAGUGGGGAAUCUUGCACAAUGGGGGAAACCCUGAUGCAGCGAUGCCGCGUGAGUGAAGAAGGCCCUUGGGUUGUAAAACUCUUUCGUCGGGGAAGAAAAUGACUGUACCCGAAUAAGAAGGUCCGGCUAACUUCGUGCCAGCAGCCGCGGUAAUACGAAGGGACCUAGCGUAGUUCGGAAUUACUGGGCUUAAAGAGCUCGUAGGUGGUUAAAAAAGUUGAUGGUGAAAUCCCAAGGCUCAACCUUGGAACUGCCAUCAAAACUUUUUAGCUAGAGUGUGAUAGAGGUAAGUGGAAUUUCUAGUGUAGAGGUGAAAUUCGUAGAUAUUAGAAAGAACACCAAAUGCGAAGGCAACUUACUGGGUCACUACUGACACUGAGGAGCGAAAGCAUGGGUAGCGAAGAGGAUUAGAUACCCUCGUAGUCCAUGCCGUAAACGAUGUGUGCUAGACGUUGGAAAUAUAUUUUUCAGUGUCGCAGCGAAAGCAUUAAGCACACCGCCUGGGGAGUACGACCGCAAGGUUAAAACUCAAAUGAAUUGACGGGGACCCGCACAAGCAGUGCGCAUGUGAUUAAUUCGAUGCAACGCGCAGAACCUUACCUGGGCUUGACAUACAUCAGAUCGCUGCAGAGAUGUAGUCUCUCUUUGUGUUGGUGUACAGGUGGUGCAUGACUGUCGUCAGCUCGUGUCGUGAGAUGUUGGGUAAGUCACGCACCGAGCGCAACCCAUUGUCUUUAGUGACAUCAUUUCAGUUGGCACGUCUAAAGAGAACUGACUGUGAUAGCAGAUGAGUGGGGACGACGUCAGGUCCUCAUGACCGUACGUAUGGCUGACUCGUGCUACAUGGCAGUGACAUGCUGAAUCUCAAGCUGCUCAGUUCCGAUGCAGCCUGAACUCGGAGCUACUGGAAGGCUGGCAAGUAC
rnacentral:rRNA from 1 species